GGGGGCGAAAGGUCUCGACAGGGGUCAUGUUCUUCGUGCGGAUGCAUGCCGGGCUUCUCUACGCAGCUCGUUAAAAAGCAUAGGGAAACACAAUUGCCAAUAAUCAAGAAUUGGCCCUCGCAGCCUAACCACGGUUAGCGAGCGUCUCGCCGCAAGUUGCUCAUGCGCGCGGAGCGAGAUGUCACUCAGAUGAGCUGGCCUGCUCUUUGUGCUCAGGGAGAGCGGGCGAGACAAAACUGGGCUAGUCGCAGCCGGGGUCUUCGACGCUUCACUGACCCGGUCGCGGCGAACGCGCCCGCGAAAGGCGGGCAGCAGAGAAGCGUCUAAGCAUGUAGAUUCCGGCGGUGACGGCUCUUGGACCCGAGUUCGAUUCUCGGCGCCUCCAUUA
rnacentral:tmRNA from 1 species